GCUUGUCUCAAAGAUUAAGCCAUGCAUGUCUAAGUUUAAGUAUUAAACAGCGAAACUGCGAAUGGCUCAUUAAAUCAGUUAUAAUCUACUCGAUCAACACUAUCUUUACUCGGAUAACUGUAGUAAUUCUAGAGCUAAUACGUGCACUAAAGGCCUGACUUUUCGGAAGGGCCGCGCUUGUUAGAUUCCAAACCGACCAGGGCAACCUGAGUUCAGGUGAUUCUAGCCAAGAUAGCAGAUCGCAUAGCCUCGUGCUGGCGACAGUUCGAUCGAGUUUCUGCCCUAUCAACUAGAUUGUAGUGUAUUGGACUACAAUGGUGAUAACGGGUGACGGGGAAUUAGGGUUCGGUUCCGGAGAGGGAGCCUGAGAAAUGGCUACCACUUCCAAGGAAGGCAGCAGG
rnacentral:rRNA from 1 species